rnacentral:lncRNA from 1 species
UAGCCUCUGUUGAGCAGCUAGCCAGACAGUAAACCUAUGUCUAGGUUGAGCAUGUGCAAGUAACAUCAGGUUCUUCCAUGUAACCUUACUGUAAGUAGGAACCAAUGCCAGAUAUAGUUUCUGAAUAUGGAAUUGUUCUAGUUUGUAGAAACUUUGCAAUCUACUGAUCAAGCUACCUUGAAGCAAUUGAAUCCCCCUAAUAUCAUCUCUUCUGUCCAGUAUUUUUCUUACAACCCAGGAGGCUGCCUUAGGUAUAGACA